GACGAACGCUGGCGGCGUGCUUAACACAUGCAAGUCGAACGGAAAGGCCCUGCUUGCAGGGUCCUCGAGUGGCGAACGGGUGAGUAACACGUGGGUGAUCCGCCCUGCACUUCGGGAUAAGCCUGGGAAACUGGGUCUAAUACCGGAUAGGAGCCAUUUUCAGCGUGAUGGUUGGAAAGAUUUUUCGGUGUUGGAUGAGCUGGCGGCCUAUCAGCUUGUUGGUGGGGUGAUGGCCUACCAAGGCGGCGACGGGUAGCCGGCCUGAGGGAGUGGACGGCCACAUUGGGACUGAGAUGCGGCCCAGGCUCCUACGGGAGGCAGAAGUGGGGAAUAUUGCACAAUGGGCGCAAGCCUGGUGCAGCGGGGCCGCGGGGGGGAUAACGGCCUUCGGGUUGUAGACUACUUUCGCGAGGGACGAAGCUUUUUGUGACGGUACCUAGAUAAGAAGCACCGGCUAACUACGUG
rnacentral:rRNA from 1 species